GCAGUCUAGUUUAGCACCAUUGAACAGCGAAACUGCGAACGGCUCAUUAAAUCAGUUACAGUUUACUUGAUAUCCCUCUGCUACAUGGAUAACUGUGGUAAUUCUAGAGCUAAUACAUGUCCUAAGCCCCGACCUCUGGAAGGGGUGACUUUGUUAGUGAUAAAAACCAAUGCCCUCACGGGCUCGGUGGUGAUUCACAAUAAAAAAUCCAAUCGCACGGCCUCGCGCCGGCGAUGCAUCAAUCAAGUUUCUGCCCUAUCAACUUUCGACGGCUGGGUAUUGGCCAGCCGUGGUGACCACGGGUAACGGAGGGUUAGGGCUCGACCCCGGAGAGUCCGCCUGAGAAACGGCGAACACAUCCAAGGAAGGCAGCAGGCGCGCAAAUUACCCAAUGCCGACACCGGCGAGGUAGUGACGAUACAUACCGAUACAGGGCUCUUUUGGGUCUUGUAAUUGGAAUGAGUACAACUCAAAUCCCUUAACGAGGAACAAUUGGAGGGCAAGUCUGGUGGACCGAACAGUUCCGAGAGCGAUCUCGCUGGCGCCGGAUAUAGUGGACCCUUGAGGAACGCCGCGCAGUGGGGGGGCGCGGGGUUCCUCUAAAUGCCGCUAGUCGAGCACCUGUUCGUGGCAGGUAGGUGCCGGCGACACAACCUGGAUCGGGGGAGGCUAAGGGCAGGGUCCGCCUGCCUACGCUGAUCCCGAGCGGAGCCGCGGGGGAGUGAUCCCUCGCAGUGGCCCGUGUAGAGCGCGCCAAGGUGUGGGCUGGCCUGUAGCACUGCAGUCGGGGGCAGGUGCAGGUCGGCUUAUGGUACGUGCCAGCCGCCUCGAAAGAGGUCCCCCGUGUGGAGCGCCUGCCGCGCGAAGCACGGGGGGCCCAGGCCCCCGGCCUGGGUGGGGGGGGUUCUUGCGAAACACGCGCUGUGUUUCGGAAGCGAAAACGGCCAGCAGCCGCGGUAAUUUCCAGCUCCAGUAGCGUAUAUUAAAGUUGUUGCAGUAAAAGCUCGUAGUUGAUCAUCGGGCCUGGGCCGCCCGGUCUGCCUCACCGCAUGCAC
rnacentral:rRNA from 1 species